GGACUACAGGGGUAUCUAAUCCUGUUUGCUCCCCACGCUUUCGUGUAUGAGCGUCAGUGCUAACCCAGGGGGCUGCCUUCGCCAUCGGUGUUCCUCCAGAUCUCUACGCAUUUCACUGCUACACCUGGAAUUCCACCCCCCUCUGCCGCACUCUAGCCUCGUAGUUUCCAACGCAGUUCCCAGGUUAAGCCCGGGGAUUUCACAUCGGACUUGCGAGACCGCCUACGCACGCUUUACGCCCAGUAAUUCCGAUUAACGCUUGGACCCUACGUAUUACCGCGGCGGCUGGCAC
rnacentral:rRNA from 2 species